rnacentral:rRNA from 1 species
UACGUAGGGUGCGAGCGUUAAUCGGAAUUACUGGGCGUAAAGCGUGCGCAGGCGGCUUUGCAAGACAGAUGUGAAAUCCCCGGGCUCAACCUGGGAAUGGCCGUUGAAACUGGCGAACUGGAGUGUGGCAGAGGGGGGUGGAAUUCCGCGUGUAGCAGUGAAAUGCGUAGAGAUGUGGAGGAACACCAGUGGCGAAGGCGGCUUUUUGGUCUGUAACUGACGCUGAGGCGCGAAAGCGUGGGGAGCAAACAGG